rnacentral:rRNA from 1 species
GGUUUAAGUGUGUAGGUGUGUGUUCCAGGUAAAUCCGGUUCACUUUAACACUGAGGCGUGACGACGAGGCACUACGGUGCUGAAGCAACAAAUGCCCUGCUUCCAGGAAAAGCCUCUAAGCAUCAGGUAACAUCAAAUCGUACCCCAAACCGACACAGGUGGUCAGGUAGAGAAUACCAAGGCGCUUGAGAGAACUCGGGUGAAGGAACUAGGCAAAAUGGUGCCGUAACUUCGGGAGAAGGCACGCUGACACGUAGGUGAAGUGAUUUACUCAUGGAGCUGAAGUCAGUCGAAGAUACCAGCUGGCUGCAACUGUUUAUUAAAAACACAGCACUGUGCAAACACGAAAGUGGACGUAUACGGUGUGACGCCUGCCCGGUGCCGGAAGGUUAAUUGAUGGGGUCAGCGCAAGCGAAGCUCCUGAUCGAAGCCCCGGUAAACGGCGGCCGUAACUAUAACGGUCCUAAGGUAGCGAAAUUCCUUGUCGGGUAAGUUCCGACCUGCACGAAUGGCGUAAUGAUGGCCAGGCUGUCUCCACCCGAGACUCAGUGAAAUUGAACUCGCUGUGAAGAUGCAGUGUACCCGCGGCAAGACGGAAAGACCCCGUGAACCUUUACUAUAGCUUGACACUGAACAUUGAGCCUUGAUGUGUAGGAUAGGUGGGAGGCUUUGAAGUGUGGACGCCAGUCUGCAUGGAGCCGACCUUGAAAUACCACCCUUUAAUGUUUGAUGUUCUAACGUGGACCCGUUACCCGGGUUGCGGACAGUGUCUGGUGGGUAGUUUGACUGGGGCGGUCUCCUCCUAAAGAGUAACGGAGGAGCACGAAGGUUGGCUAAUCCUGGUCGGACAUCAGGAGGUUAGUGCAAUGGCAUAAGCCAGCUUGACUGCGAGCGUGACGGCGCGAGCAGGUGCGAAAGCAGGUCAUAGUGAUCCGGUGGUUCUGAAUGGAAGGGCCAUCGCUCAACGGAUAAAAGGUACUCCGGGGAUAACAGGCUGAUACCGCCCAAGAGUUCAUAUCGACGGCGGUGUUUGGCACCUCGAUGUCGGCUCAUCACAUCCUGGGGCUGAAGUAGGUCCCAAGGGUAUGGCUGUUCGCCAUUUAAAGUGGUACGCGAGCUGGGUUUAGAACGUCGUGAGACAGUUCGGUCCCUAUCUGCCGUGGGCGCUGGAGAACUGAGGGGGGCUGCUCCUAGUACGAGAGGACCGGAGUGGACGCAUCACUGGUGUUCGGGUUGUCAUGCCAAUGGCACUGCCCGGUAGCUAAAUGCGGAAGAGAUAAGUGCUGAAAGCAUCUAAGCACGAAACUUGCCCCGAG